GACGAACCGAGCGAACGUUAUUCGGAAUCACUGGGCUUAAAGGGCGCGUAGGCGGGCGGCCAAGUCAGGGGUGAAAGCCCCCAGCUCAACUGGGGAAGUGCCUCUGAUACUGGUCGCCUCGAGGGAGAUAGGGGCGUGCGGAACUUCCGGUGGAGCGGUGAAAUGCGUAGAUAUCGGAAGGAACACCGGUGGCGAAAGCGGCGCGCUGGAUCUCUUCUGACGCUGAGGCGCGAAAGCGUGGGGAGCGAACAGG
rnacentral:rRNA from 1 species